GUCAGUAGUCACGUAGACAAUGGCCCAAGCUUCUGAACUUCAGGCUAAACUCCUCCCCAGUUACCUAGCAACAGUAAAGACCAUAAAAAGGGCAGUUCAGCCCCUGCUUGCUCUCUUACACCUUUGUUCUCUCACCUCUCACUCACUUCUCUCACUCCUCUCUUCCCCCUCCUUUCUCUGUCUUCUCCUCUCUCUCUCCUCACUCUCUCUCUCUCUCUCUCUCUCUCUCUCUCUCUCUGUCUCUCUGUCUCUGUCUCUCUCUCUCUCUCUCUCUCUCACUCUUUCUACCUUCUCUCUUUCUCCCUGCAUUUCUAUAAUAAAUCUCUUAAACCAUACAGAUUCUCUGCUCCAUCAAUACCCGCUGGGCACCCUGCCCAGAACCCAGUGAAUGAAAUAAUGCUCCCAUAACAUGACAGGAGCCUAGCAUAACUGUUUUCUGCGUGACUAUACACAGGAGUGGAUGGAAACAGAAGCAGGUACCCACAGUCAAACAUCAGAUGGAGGUCUGGAGUACCUAUGGAAGAGUUGGAAAUAUCCAAGGGCCAGAAGUAGAUUGGAAACUCCAUAAAAAGACUAAAAGAAUCAACAAACCUGGACCCCUGGGAGCCCUCAGAAUCUGAACACAACCAAAACAAAGAACACAAAAAGGCUGGAACGAGACUCCUCGAGACUCCUCCGCACACAUGUAGCAGACAGGCUGCUGCCCUCUCUGGCCUCAGUGGGAGAGGAUGGGCCUAUUCUGGCAGAGAAUUGAUGUGCCAGGGUGG
rnacentral:lncRNA from 1 species